rnacentral:rRNA from 1 species
UACGGAGGGUGCAAGCGUUGUCCGGAUUUAUUGGGUUUAAAGGGUGCGUAGGCGGCUGUUUAAGUCAGCGGUGAAAGACUCCGGCUCAACCGGGGCAGUGCCGUUGAUACUGGACAGCUUGAGUGCUGCAGGGGUACAUGGAAUUGAUGAUGUAGCGGUGAAAUGCAUAGAUAUCAUCAGGAACACCGAUAGCGAAGGCAUUGUACUGGGCAGCAACUGACGCUGAGGCACGAAAGUGUGGGGAUCGAAC